rnacentral:lncRNA from 10 species
GUGAGACCUUGGAAAACAUUGUAGGCCAAAAGAUACAUAAGCAGGGUCAAUAGACAAACGAAUUAUGGAAAUGUGAGACAAAGUUUAAGAUCUACAACAUACAAUAAGGAUUUACAAAUUAAUAAGAAAUAGUUAACUCAGUAGAAAAAUGGGCAAAGGAUAAAAAUGGGUAAUUCACAGAAGAGUUCAUCCAAAUGGCCAAAAAUACAAAUGAAGACGUGCUCAGCUCCAGCAGCAGGAAAAUGCAAUUUAAAGUAACAAUGAGAGAUCGUUUUAUACCCACAGCUAAAACCUGCAUUUCUGGUAGGGAGGCACAGGAUAAGAUACUUUCAUACGUUGUUUGCGGAAAUGUGAAACAUUACUGUUUUUUUGAAAUGCAAACUUUAUUAAAAGUAUAUAUAAUAUACAUUAAAAGUGUAUAAAAUAUAUAUAUCUCCAUUGAUUUACUUCUAGGCAUUCAUUCCAUGAGAACACAAACCCUAGAGAGUAUAGGCAUAGGAAUAGAAUUUUUUGCCUCAUGUUUAUAGUUAAAGAAAAGAUAAAGCUAUUGUUCAUCAAUAGGUGAAUGGCUGAAUAAAUCGUGCAAUAUUCACGCUAUGGAAUAUUAUGUAAUGUCAAAAAUUAUGUGAAACUUAUAUCAGUUUAUUUCGGGGGAUUUCCUUGAAGUACUAUUGCAUAAAAAAGCGAAAUGCAAGAGAGUAUAAUAGAAUAUGAUCCCAUUUUUGUAAAAUAACAAUUAAAAUCUCUAAUACUUGCAUAUGUGUGUUUGCAUACAAUGUAAAUGUGUCUGUCAGUGAUUACUCAAUUAAGGAGAAAACAUACAGGAGGUUGGAUACAGUGGGUUAUCUGGGGUCAAAGGGGAGGGUAGUACAAGCUGACAUGAGCAGUGUGGAAAGUGAGGAGGGAGACAUUAUUGGCUCAUCCUCCACCAAAAAAAUAAAAUAAAAUAAAAAAGCACGGGCCUUUGGAAUUGGACUCCCUCAUCCUGCAGCCUAGCUAGCCCCCUCCCCCCAAAAUGCGUGACUCCCUUGGGCAUCCCUCCCACCACCCUAUACGUGGCCUUCCAUGUGUUUUCCAUGAUGCUAGAAUAGGGCAGUCAAGUCACCAAGUCGCAGGGAGGGGCCAGGGCUGGGGGGCUGCUUUCAGUGCAUGAGAAAGGACCUCAGGGUCCAGAGUUCAGGCCCCAUUCUCCCCAGGCGACUUGGCAAAUUCAUGAGAGUGAGUGGAAGAGGCCACGGAGUAUUAAUUGACUUGUUCUCUCAACUGAAGUCCUCCUUCCGUCUUAGCUGACAGGUCAUGUCCUCAGAAAGGAUUCUUCUGAGUCCCACCCCUCAGUGAUCUUGCCCUUCACUCCCUUUCAUAGCCCUCAUUACAAUUUGCCAUCGUUUUUGUUUGUGUGUGAUUAAUGUCUAUUUCCCAAGCGCCACAAGAGGAGGAACGCUGCCUGUGCAGCACCCAGUAUGAGAUGCGGCAGGGUCCCGGCAAUGCUGGCUGCUUUCAGUCAUUUGCUCACUCACUCUCUCCUUCAUUGACUCAAUCUUUUCUGCAUUUCUUUAUUCAUUUUUUCCCUUAUUCACUCCAGAAACAUGCUAUUGGUCCAUGCCUUUUCCCGAUCUGAAUCUUCCGCUUUCUAGGGUGGCUUUUUCAGAGAAGGAGGGAGUGGGGACAUGAUGGCAGAAUUCUGGGAAUGCAUCCACAACUUGGGAGGGCCUAGCUGGAGCCAGCCCAGAUGUCCUCGAAGUCUUGCCUCACUUCUCCAGCUGGAAGGGCUGCUCCCUGCUGCAAACAAACUUCCCGAGCACAAAAUCUGGACCUCCCUCAAGGCGCUGACCACUUCCUGGCUUGGGUUGUGGUGUGGCCCCUCUCUCCACCCCAUAGACAGAGGCUCUGUCCAACUGUUCCCUGUAUCCCGCAGGGCCUAGGGCCCAGCACAGAGCAGAUGCCCAAGCCACUCUGG